rnacentral:rRNA from 1 species
UUCGGGGAGCUUGCUUCCUGGAGUACGGAGCGGCGCACGGGUGAGUAACACGUGGGUAACCUGCCUCGAAGAUCGGAAUAACCCCGGGAAACUGGGGCUAAUGCCGGAUACCCUUCCCGGGUCGCAUGGCCUGGGAAGAAAAAGGGUUUCCGCUUCGAGAGGGGCCCGCGGCCUAUCAGCUUGUUGGUGGGGUAACGGCCCACCAAGGCUUUGACGGGUAGCCGGCCUGAGAGGGUGAUCGGCCACAUCGGGACUGAGACACGGCCCGAACUCCUACGGGAGGCAGCAGUUGGGAAUCUUGCACAAUGGGCGAAAGCCUGAUGCAGCGAUGCCGCGUGAGGGAUGAAGCCUUUCGAGGUGUAAACCUCUUUCAGUAGGGAAGAAGCCACGGGUAACCGUGGUGACGGUACCUGCAGAAGAAGCCCCGGCUAACUACGUGCCAGCAGCCGCGGUAAUACGUAGGGUGCGAGCGUUAAUCGGAAUUACUGGGCGUAAAGCGCGCGCAGGCGGCUUCGCAAGUCAGGCGUGAAAUCCCCGGGCUUAACCUGGGAAUUGCGCUUGAAACUACGGUGCUGGAGUGCGGCAGAGGAAGGUGGAAUUCCACGUGUAGCGGUGAAAUGCGUAGAGAUGUGGAGGAACACCAAUGGCGAAGGCAGCCUUCUGGGUCGACACUGACGCUCAUGCACGAAAGCGUGGGGAGCAAACAGGA